CCUACGGGAGGCAGCAGUGAGGAAUAUUGGUCAAUGGGCUUACGCCUGAACCAGCCAAGUCGCGUGAGGGAAGACUGCCCUAUGGGUUGUAAACCUCUUUUGUCAGGGAGCAAUUGGCGCUACGUGUAGCGUUAUCGAGAGUACCUGAAGAACAAGCAUCGGCUAACUCCGUGCCAGCAGCCGCGGUAAUACGGGGGAUGCGAGCGUUAUCCGGAUUUAUUGGGGUUAAAGGGUGCGUAGGCGGAAUCCCAAGUCAGCGGUAAAAGCGCGGGGCUCAACCUCGGUCCGGCGUUGAAACUGGCGUGCUUGAGGGGGCGAGAAGGAUGCGGAAAGCGUGGUGUAGGGGGGAAAUG
rnacentral:rRNA from 1 species